GCCUCUGCGGAUCAUCCACACGAAGCUCCCGUUUGAUCAGCUCCUCACGAAUGCUAGUUCGUGAUUUCACCCUUUUGAUGGCAGAUGUUGAUCGAACUCAUUCGAUCAAUGUGUGCCGACUCUUCGGAUGCUUCGGAUCAUUUGCACGGUUGCUUGAGAGGCUGAUGGAUCUCUCUCUAAAAUUUGGUGGACUCACGAC
rnacentral:lncRNA from 1 species